CUGGUUACAUCAGAAGAGCUACAAAGGAGGUGCUCUCCACCAGAAAGUUACUCUGCAAAUACAGUAGUGGCCUAUCUAAGGAAAGCCAAAGGACAAAAAAGGAAAACUGCUGAGAGGUUGGCAGAGCUAGAUGUGAUGCCCUCAACACAAACAAAACUCACUUCGCAGUGCUCCAAACUAUGUGAAGAUGAAUGCAGUGAUCUGGCUGAUGAUAUAAUGUACCUAGCAGCCAAGACCAUCCCCCAGAAAAGAGUGGCUCAAGCCUUGCCGGAAGAAGGGAAUGUCCAUGCAGCCUUGGCCAGAACAGAAGACUGCAUGAAGACAUUAAAAGCUGUGGAGAAUGCUUUAGAGGCUCACUGGGAGACAUUUAACCUGGCAACACAUGGUCUUGGACCUGCUGUUAUAAAGGGCACUAUUUCAUUAAUUGACUCA